UACUAUAACAACCCGUAUAAUAUAUAUCUAGAAUAAUAUCAUACAAGUGUUAUUAUUUGGUACUGACACAAUCAUAAGUGCCUAUUGGCAUCAAUAUAUAUACAUGUCCAAACUAAAAACAUCAAUGAAACAUGUUAUAUAAUAGUGCCUAAACAAUAAAAAUCUAAGAACUAUGUGCAAUAUCUUCAUUGCACACAAGUCCACAACGGAAGAUCAUGAUAAACAACAUCCCUUGAAACAUCCAUAAACAGCUUCUCUUAGAUUCAACCUGCAAGGAUUACCUGAAAAAUAACAACAAGAGACAACAACAACAACUUUGUUCCUUCGUAUAUUCUCAUAACAUCAACACAACAUCAACUACAUCAACAUGACAUAUCAUUAUACAUGCAACAACAUCAACAUGGUUUCACCAUAUGAUAUUCCAAUAUGAUAUUAAUACCAUUCUAACAACAACACAACAACCAACAUCAUAUAUCAUGGAUUAACAACCAUAGAGUUGCAACACACCAAGAAGUUCAUAUAUCAAUCAUCAAUUUAACAAACAUAAUAAACAUCAUAAAUUCCUAACCCCCAAUUUCAUGAAAUUUCUCCCCAAAGCUAUAACUAAACUAAGAACUCACCUUGAGAUGAUGAAAUAGAGAUGAAGUUGGUGAAAAAGAUGAGAUGAAAUCAUGGUGUUUAUGAUGAUAAUGAUGGCAUCCAUGGCUAUCUUCUUCUUUCUCUUUUCUUCUUCCUUCUAGUUUUCUAUCUUUUUUUCUUUUCCUUUCCUUUCUUUUCUUCUUUCUGAUAUAUCUUCUUUUCUUCUUACCCACUUUUCUUCUCUACCACAUACAUAUAUAUAGUAUAAUAUAUAAUGUGUGGUUAGUAUUUAGAGUUGGUAACAAAAUAUCUCAAUUGAUAUUUUAUCUUCCAGCACCAAUUGACCAAUUAUUAAUGUUAACAAAAUGUCCUCUCUUGUAUUUAUUAAUAUUGGUCUGUCUCUUUUAUUAAUAACUAAUCUCUUCAGAGUUCACUGGUUACAGUAUUAGUCCUAACUGAUAACACUUAGAGCACAUAUGAGCUCUAGUUGUUACAACUGAUAAUAGAUAGAGUACAUAGGAACUCAAUUGACCUCAACUUGCAUUAACGUCUUAGACCAACAUUUGAGUUCUCUUCAAUUUAAAGCUUAUGACAUACCCAUCCUUCUAACUUAUCCUGCUGACAAAUUUCCUUCUUUCAUGAACUUUUGAAACUUCUUGAUUUCCAUCAUAAUCUUAUUCUGAUAUUGAAUUAACAUGUAAACUUGCUCCCACUUAAUUCAUCUGAUAUACCGCUCAACAUCAGUUGGUCACUUUCCUCCCGGAAACCACGACUUCCCUUCCUUGCACUAAGUAACACAAAACAUAAUUACGACAUCUUAUCUUGAUUUGGUUAAUCAAUGCUCAUUAAUUCUUCAUAAGAAAACUUAUUGAUUCUUUGACCAAAAACAAUAUUGACUACUUUUUUCUUAUUAUUCCUUCAACAAGUGUGACAAACUUUGUAAUUCAUCUAUUGAUAAUCUCAUAAACUUCACUUGAUCUGAUACUGUAUGCUGCAAACCUUUGCUCCUACUAUUUCACUUCUCUCGUACUACUCCAAUAAGAUAGCACCAUUAGCACGAGAUUGUCUUACUCCCAUUCUUAUGAGUAACUAUCUCUCUAAUUCCCAUAAUCUUGAUUGAACCCUUUCUUCCAUCACCUUCCAUUGUGAUACUCUGAUUCCAACAUAGGAACACCUGGGAUUCCUAAGAACCACUGGUUAGCUAACUGUCUACAUAGAAGGUCAUGCACAUCUCCAGAGUGCCCACCACCCAAAAUAGUACUAGGACCUCACCGACAUCCCUUAGUAGAAUAACUUCCUUGAUGACUCACAAAAGUUUAGAAUAAGAUCGACACUCUUCAGAAGAUAGGUAUCCAGGAGUUACAUUACUACAACCAUAAAAAUGUACAACAUCCAGAUUCAUCAUGUGUUUGGAGCAGCUAAACCAAAUUAGUUUGACAAUAUCUGGUUCUGGUUACUAUAUACCAUAUUAAAUCCUCUUAUAUGGUUAUGAUUCCUUCAAGGCUUCUGCUGACACAGGAUUCCGACCAAUAAUAAAAAUAACACCAUUAAGGAACUUCAAGUCAUCAACGAGACACCACUUCUAAGGAACCUUAAGCAAACUAGACUGUAAUUGUGAGUGUCCAUACAACUCAUAGAGUCACACACAAUAUUUCACACACAUCUAGAGAUAACAUUUCACUUUGUAUCCAAAAUCAUUCAUCUAAAUCGUCAUGUCCCAUCUUCCAUAAUCUUAGCUCAUGCUCUUACUAAUAUACAGUCCGAGUUACAUGUUUAACUUCGGGAAUAUCUGAUUCCCGUUCCUCCUGGGAAGUAUAAUUCAUGAAUCCUUCCAAUAGGGUAGAGUAUCAUUGUACACAAAAUACUACUCUCCUGGGGGUCCUCAUCCGAAGCCAUGAAUCCAAGAAAUUAUUGAAUUCCAUAUUCUGACUAAUCAAUUUACACUUUACCAACGCAUACAAUAUACUGAACUAAUCCCUUCUAGAUCACCACUUGGUAAGUCUCUUCCAACAUCACUCCUUAGGGUUCUCAUUAUCUGUAAUAGUGAUACACCCAAGAGUUACUCACACCAAAUAUGGUUCACUAGGUUGGUUUCCCCAAACGUCUGAAUUCCAUGAUAUCUCUACAGACGACCAACUAUGCACUACACCUUCAGAAAUCCCAAUUUCAAAACUACCAAUCUUACUUGUGGUGACUUGUAACUCCAUCCUCAAUUUGUACAUCCACAACGAUACACUUAUGACAAUUUAGACACCCUUAGCUCCAACACGGUGUGAAUGUUUAUACUCCAUGAUCAACCAACCAAACACUCCUCAAGCAGAUAAAUAACAACCAGACUUCCAAUAAGCCACUAUUACUCUUGCAAUUCAAAUAAAAUGCACUUAAGAUGAUCCUUAUCAUUACCACACACUUAUGACUGGAAUUUUUCUUCUAACCCAAUACCUACUACACACUUCAUCAUACUGGGGUUACUUGUCUAGAUGACUUACCACGGACAAUCCUCAUUGUCUCCCCAUAAGCUCUUACAACAUAACAUAUUUCAAAUCCUACACUUAGUCCCCAUGCUCCAGCUUGGCUUGUCUUUCAUUGUCUAUCAUCAACUCAACUUCUCGAAAUACAAGACUCACUACUUAACAAAGUGUGUAUUACUUCGCAUCCAUCUCAAGACAAGGAAUCCAUUACACACACUUGUGACCAUAAUGUUGCUAUCACAUACUUCUCUUAAUACCAAGGUAUAACUUCCUCAACUCCACUACAUUCUCUAGAAAUCUUUGAUGCGAACAAUCAUUAACUACACGCACAUAACUUAGCCUUAAUAAAUCUUGAUGAUCCCAUUGUACCUUUAUCUAAAACGUAUCCCAUUACAACAAUUUUAUUGCAAUAUUCACACCGCUUCCACACUCUGCGUUCACUUACCUUCCUAUGGUAAUUCUCCCAGUUCCAGUUACAAAACCAUUCUACUAGAAUUCUUUAAAUCCAAUUAGUUAUUAUUUUCUUCAAUACAAAUCUCCUUCAACCCAUCCUACUAGAGCUUCCGUUGUUAUAUACUGCUUAUUCUCUCUUCCUCACAAACUCUUAUAAUUAAUCCUCAGGUAACUCAACAUUCCAUAACAAUUCCUUGCCAACAUUAAACCCUUGACGAGCUAUCCUGAAUCCGAUCUCCCUUCUAAGACUGAACAUACUUGGUUUAUCUACUAGCUUCCAUUUGGCCCAUACCUGUUUCACUUGAAAUAGGUAGGCAUGUCCUUGAGUCUCUCCUUAAACUCCACCACUACCUUAGGCUCCCAACAAAACUGAACGUCCUUAUCCCUCAAGUCCUUAACCACUUGCAAGGUACCAUUCCAAAUAUAUAUUCUAUGAAGUACUCUCGUUCUUCCAAAAUGUUUUAGUGGCCUUAGAAACUGAAACACUGAUACACUACCUCACUUCCAAACCUUAUGGGAUAUGUGCAACAUAACCAUCCUUUCUCCUUCACCAUACGAAAUUACUUAAAAUACUUAUUCCAUAUUAGUGGGUAUAUUUUAUUCCACUAGCAAAUUCACUUAUUCCUCAAAAUUCUGACAAACUCAUCCGAUAGAAUUCCUCAACUUCUCAACUCUGUUAACACUGUAGAGUUGCUUGAGCGAUACACAACUCUUCAAUUCCAUAAUACCCAAAUCACAAUUCCUACUGAAACUUCAACUGAGCUAUCCGGUUCUCCUUACUUUCUAACUCUUGGCUUGAUCCUACUCUCAAAGCACAAGUUCCACCCACACUUCGGAGUCCUCGUGGUCGCUCAACCAUGAUCCUACCUACCAUUGCACAUAGAAUUAGGUUGAUCAGGCCCAAUACUACAUACAGUGAUGUUAAGAAUCAUGUUGGCUAAACACACAUAUGAGGCAGGAAUAGAUUUACUUAUGAUGUUUCAAGGCUAGGUCGAGAAUCGACCUGCUCUGAUACCAACUAUAACAACCCGUAUAAUAUAUAUCUAGAACUAAACACACAUAUGAGGCAGGAAUAGAUUUACUUAUGAUGUUUCAAGGCUAGGUCGAGAAUCGACCUGCUCUGAUACCAACUAUAACAACCCGUAUAAUAUAUAUCUAGAAUAAUAUCAUACAAGUUUUAUUAUUUGGUACUGACACAAUCAUAAGUGCCUAUUGGCAUCAAUAUAUAUAAAUGUCCAAACUAAAAACAUCAAUGGAACAUGUUAUACAAUAGUGCCUAAACAAUAAAAAUCUAAGAACUAUGCGCAAUAUCUUCAUUGCACACAACUCCAUAACGGAAGAUCAUGAUAAACAACAUCCCUUGAAACAUCCAUAAACAACUUCUCUUAGAUUCAACCUGCAAGGAUUACCUGAAAAAUAACAACAAGAGACAACAACAACAACUUUGUUCCUUCAUAUAUUCUCAUAACAUCAACACAACCUCAACUACAUCAACAUGACAUAUCAUUAUACAUGCAACAACAUCAACAUGGUUUCACCAUAUGAUAUUUCAAUAUGAUAUUGAUACCAUUCUAACAAAAACAUAACAACCAACAUCAUAUAUCAUGGAUUAACAACCAUAGAGUUGCAACACACCAAGAAGUUCAUGUAUCAAUCAUCAAUUUAGCAAACAUAGUAAACAUCAUAAAUUCCUAACCCCCAAUUUCAUGAAAUUUCUCCCUAAAGCUAUAACUAAACUAAGAACUCACCUUGAGAUGAUGAAAUAGAGAUGAAGUUGGUGAAGAAGAUGAGAUGAAAUCAUGGUGUUUAUGAUGAUAAUGAUGGCAUCCAUGGCUAUCUUCUUCUUUCUCUUUUCUUCUUUCUUCUAAUUUUCUAUCUUUUUUUCUUUUCCUUUCCUUUCUUUUCUUCUUUCUGAUAUAUCUUCUUUUCUUCUUACCCACUUUUCUUCUCUACCACAUACAUAUAUAUAGUACAAUAUAUAAUGUGUGGUUAGUAUUUAGAGUUGGUAACAAAAUAUCUCAAUU
rnacentral:lncRNA from 1 species